CUCUCCCCCUCCCGCCCUCGCCGCGCACUCCUCCUAGUAACUUCUGUUCGGGGAGGCGCUGCCAGGAAUAACCCGGUGCGUCCACAGACCGGGAGGGGAGGCGGCCGCUGCGGCUCCCGCACGCAGACGGCCGCGGCCCUGGCCUCGCGGCUCCUUCCCGAGCCCGGCGGCCCUCGCCCCGGGCCCAUCUCCGUACAGUGUCCGAAAAAUAAAUAAAGGCAAGCGGAGCCUGGGCAGGCGGUCGGGAUCUCUUCCCUCCCUCCGCGCCCGCCCUCCCUCUGUCCUUAAGGAAAUGCUACCAGACACCCCCCACCAGACACGCUCAGCCUCGGCGAGGAGCGGCAGCCGCGGCAGCGAGAACAAGGGCACCGGGGGGGUUUCCUCGCCCUCCUCUCCCUCCUCUUCCUCCUCCUUCUCUCCGUCCUCCUCCUCCUUCUCAGCGGUGACUUUCCAGGUGAGCAGCCGCCGCUGCUGCGAGGAUCCCCUCGCCCGCUCGGGCUCGGGCCGCCGCGUCCCGCCCUCCUCCCGCCCCUGUCACCCGGCGGCGGCUGGGAGCUGACAGCCGCCUGAGGGGCUCGCGGCCCGGAGGCGGGCGGCCGGCGGGAGGCGGGCUGGCGGUGAGGGGGUGGAGAGGAGGCAAGCGGGGCGCCUCCGAGCGCUGUCUCUCCGCACCGGAGGAGGGUCUGCACCUAAACAUCUUCGGUGACUGUGGCACAAGUCUUUGCCAAGUUGUGUCUUGGACGUUCAAGCUCCCAGGAGCCCCGAACAACUUGGAGGGUCUCCUGGCUCGUUGACAGUGUUCCUACACGUCCCGAUUUGAGGUGCUGGGUGCAGCCCUGGGGUGCGCGGAGGGCUGGCUGACCACCCGGGAGAGCAGAGCGGCAGGAUCUAGGUCCCUCGGCUCGGUAAGUGGCCUAGGCGCGUUGUUUUUUCCUGCCUCCUCCAGCGCUGGGAGCCUGUUUCACUUUAUGCCGAAAUCGCCUCCGCCGGACGCCUUCGCUCUCCCGGCGCGCGCCCCCGGCCCCUUCCUGGUGUCCCCAGGGUGAGGGUCGGAGGGGGCGGGGACGGGGGAGACCUCGGGAGGGGGGCUCGGCGCGUUGGGAAAUGCGGGGAAUACCCUGGCCGAGGAUCUAUGCAGAUGAGGUGAGGCUGCUUUGCGUAAUGUCCUUGGGGGAGGGGGCAGCGCGGGAGCGCCGGAGGCAGGAAUGUGCCUGCUUGCUAAUGAGGGACGUGCACCGGCGCGCACCGCCCGGCCACCGCUGCGGCUGCCGCGGCCGCCGGCCGCCCGUCGUCAGGUGGAGUCUUUGAAUUUUUAGAAAGACAGUGGUAAUAAGAUCUACUUGAAAAAUUAAGUGAAUUGAUUUGAUUGGAACACUCACCAAUUCUGUAACAUUCGGCUGCUAGAUUCCCAGAAGUUGUGCGUGAGUUCCUGUGGGGAGAGUUGGCAUUGUGGAAGGCAAAGACGGCUGGGAUGCAGUUUUUUGAUAUGAGGAUAACAGAUAAUGUUAUUCUAAGCAAAAGAUCCCAGGAUACUGUGGGCCUUUAUUCAUCUGCAGAGCAAGCCUGCCUUCCUGCCAAUCCCACCCAGCUGUUAUCCUGAAGAGACCUCUGUCGAGGCCUAUACGAGAGGCUGUUUCUAUGCCUUUCCUCUAAAGGUCUGCCUGAGGAAAUUAUUUAACUGGGUGUCAAAUUUAUUUGAGUGGGACUGUGAAGAGUGGCCAAGCGAGAGGACAUGUUUAGGUAAAUGGCAAGUCUUCCAUGUAAUAUCUUUAUCUUCUGCUCAGCCCCUUUCAUUCCAUUACCCCUGGUAUAGCCACACAGAGGGUCGUAUCUUUUUCAACACUACCCCUCUCGGGAAAAUGUGCUGAGCCAGCUGGACAAUGCCUGUCUUUACUGACCCAAGACUCCUAUGGGCUGGAGCACUAUCCACAGGAACCUCAAAGCCAUAUCCUCCAGCAACGUAUUCUACUCCCUGCAUAGCACUCAAGGACAGGAGGGAAAAUUUUACAUGUGAAUGUAGAACUGUGUUUGGAAUACCGGUCCUUUGUUGGCAAUGAGGCCAAAAAUGACUGUGUGGGUUUGGUUACCAUAAAAAGAAAUCUCAGAGAAUGAUAGGAUAGCUGACUCUUUUCUCUUAUGUGAGGAUUGCUCUGAUAUUGCAUUUUUUAGCAUGCUAAUUGAUUGGAAAAACUGGGAAUUUACCUCUGACAUACAUUUAGAGAAUAUGGAAAAUGAAUCUACACAGUUGUAAAGAAAUAAUGUAGCUAUAAUUAACCACAUUACUAUAGCUCUUUAUAGCAACAAGCAGAUCUGCAAUGAGAAAAUUAACCUAAAAUUGCAGGUUUUACAAAGGUAAAUUUGCUGGUUUGUAAUUUUAUGAGGUCCAAAGAAACUGUGUCCCUAUUGACAAGCAUUUCCAUACAUUUAAGUAAUAAAACGCAACGCAGGGAAUUAUACCACUGUUGGUAGAGUUAGAUUGCUAAGUAAAACUAACACCUAGCAAAAAAGCCAAAAGUCAUUGUCAUCUCUUGGAUUAAACAUUGAAAUCCUUGAGGUUUUUAAAGUGCAUUUUUUCUGUAUAACUUAAGAAGAGCAGCAAAGAGACUUUUGAACACUCCCACAUCCUGCUUGGUUUUUUAAAGAGACAGACCCGUCCUGCCCAGUUACAGAUGUGUAUGGUGCACACAAUUUACACUGCAGAAACUUCUCAGUUUCAAGAUACAGCAACUGUAGACAGGAGAUGAACAAAAAGAGUCCACAUUUGUAAUGGUUCACGAAGAUGAUCGGAACCCCUGAAGGACCAAUUACUUAUAUUUUUCUCCCAUCUGCCUUAUCUCUAACUCCUCAAAAAGUGCAAGAAGGAAAGGGAUUUUUACCGGUAGCAGUUAGUUGAAGACUCUCCAACAGUAGUGGUGGAGAGAUUAUGAUAUCCACAAACACGUUUAAAAUCUAAUGGAAAGGUUCAUGUGGAAUAAGAAUGAUUUCCAGUUGCCUAGUAACUCAACUAUCACUCAACUAUCAUUCUCAAGCCUAUCACUGAGGUGAAAAUUCAGACCGUGCAGUUCAGAGGGAUGUAGAUCAGAGGGACCGUGGAACUGCUGGGACUUGGAGCUCAGACACAAAGACAGAAGGUGCUCUUCCUGAACGACCAGGAGUCAAGGAGCAUAGCUCCGGGUAGCAUCUUAAUUUCAUGAUAAAAAUUGUAAGACAGCUUAGGUAAGCUUGUCCUAGAAAUUUAAAAGGAACCAAUUUAACUGACAGAGCAUUUUGCAUAAUUGAGUCAAUGCGGUUUUUUUACUGAGAUCAAAAUUUAGGAUUAAAAGUUUUCUGGAUAAUGAAUGCUAUUGAAACAUAGGAUGAGCCUACAUUAAUAUCAGCAAAACUGAUUUUUUAAAUAAAAUAAUAGAUAAGACUUUUUCUGAUAGCUCCUUCUCCUAAAAUUUAAACCCAACAACAGUUAACUAAAUGGUCUAGGUAAUUUUUGUUCUGACCAUUAAAUAUCUGCUUUUGAAUUUUAUGUAAAUCACUUUUCUUCAUCUUGUGGUCUAUUCUUUAAUAUUAUUGUCUUUGUAUAAAUUUAAUUCAGUGCAUCUCUGUCUUAGGAUGUGCCCCUGUGAAUAGGAAUUACGUAUCCUAUUUAAGGUGUAAUGGUUUUAAUUUAUUACUGUAAACCAUAAAAAUUAAAUAAAUCUGAUUAUAAAGGUAUUACCUCAUUGCUAAAUGAAAUCACUGUACUCUAUUUAACCAUUAAAUAUAUUAUUCCAAUGCUCUUUUUCAUAAAAUUGUAUGUACUUGUUCAGCCUGAAAUCUGUAUUUUAAGCAAAAGAAAUAUUCUAUGUAAAGCAAUGAAUAGGAAGUGAUCUUACACCUAAUUUUCAUUUGUGAGGCUCUUACAUUCCUUAGAAGUAAUGCCUUUUAAGGUACAAAGUUAAAAAACUGUCUGUCAUGAGAAUUUAUCAUGUUCUCACAAGGAACUGUACUCAUUAAUGCUUUAAAAUACAGAUUUUGAACAUUAUCUAAAUUAAUGGAUUUGUUUGAUUUCUAAGAAACAGCGUUUAGGGGCAAUUUUUUAUGCUACAGCCAUGCAAGACUCAUAUAUUCUCCCAGAACCAUGAAAAAUUCAAUCAUUGGAUAUAUUAAAGUCAAGUGAAAAUAUUUAGGAGAAAGUAUUAUUGAAGAUGUCUUGUUUUAACUUGCGAUAAAACUGAACAGUAGAGUAGAUUGAGCAGUGAGACCUCGUAGGCUUAGAGGUCAGCCAAAGCUGGAUUAGAUUCCGGUACUAACACUCAGCCUCCCUAAGGAUCACCCUCAGAUGUCAAAGAGGUGUAAUAAAACUUAUUGCAUAUCAAAUAAGAUCAUGUAUAUGAAGCUCUAGUCCAGUGUAUAGCAUGUAGUAAAUGCACAAUAAACAACAGCCAGUGUCACUGUUAUUACUAGCAAUGAAACUGAAUACAUAGAUCAAUUCCAUGAUAAAAUAUUAAAUAUGAAAAGUAACUUGGAAAUUAUUCAGUUUAAGCUCCAGUUCCUAGUUAAGGAAAGACUCAUGCAUGUUUCUGUCUUGAAUUGGAAAUACACCGUACUUCCAUUUUAGACAGUGUUAUUCACCUCUGAAAGUAUGACAGGGUUUGUAUCUACAGGAACCUUAAAGGUUUAGUUAAUUUAAAAAAAUUCAGCUAAUAUGGGUUUGACAUUGUGGACUGUUUUUGUUAGCAUGGUUGCUGGAGCUGAUCUAAGUAAAUUUGCAUUGAAGCGUUAGAAAGGUCUCACUUCUAUUUCAGUUUUUGUCUUAGUACCUAUAGGAAGAAGCAUAGGAAAACACCGGUGGGAAGGGGGGGUAAAAUUCAAUUCAAUAGUAGAACUUUAAACAAACUAAAGUUAAUACGCUUGUUUAGUUUUCUAGUGGCUACUUUACAAAUCUAUGGCUCUCACAGAUGGAACUUGUGAUGACAGAUGGCUUGCUACAAAUAUCUGGAGACUUCUGUCCUCCAUAUUCUUUUCUCUUCUCUUAGGGCAAUUGCUAUCAUCCUUAUCACUGUAGCGUUCCAUAUUAAAGCAAACUGGGCAUGUGCAGCGCAUGUGCACGGUGGCAUCUUUUUUCUUAAUCCAUAUUUUACUAAAAAGAUGAACAUGCACAUGUUAGGAAAAAUAAACAAAAACAAGUAUCACCAAAAGUGAUAAAGUGAAAAGUAGAAUUCGCUUCCUGCCCCUUCCUUUGACUCCCUAGUUCUGCAUCUGUGAUUGAGCUGCCAUUAAAAGCUGUUUGGCAUCCUUGCAGAAAUUCUGUUUAUUUUCUGUUUCUCAUUUACACAAAUGGGAUUAUUCAACACAUCCAAGGGUGCAGUAGCUUCUUUUUGACAUUCAAUGUUACUAUCUUUUGGGCAAGUUUCUAUGUCUGCACUUAGAGCUGUACUUCAUUUUUUUAAAUGGCAGAGAUAUGAGGUAGCCAUACUUUAUUUAAGCAAUCCUUGCACACAUGUGCAGGUACAUCUAUAAGGAUACAUUUCCAGCAAUGAAAUUUCUGGGCCAAAGGGCAUGAGCUUUCUUACUUUGAUAAGCACUGCCAUACUGCUGAUCAAAAAACAUCUCAGCUUUCAUUAGAGCUGGUGCACUUGAGCAUUGAAGUUCUUAGAAUUCUCUGGCUACUACACUGGCUAUUUGCUUAUGGAUGCUGAAUAGUGACUUAAAAUCUUAAUUGUUUCUAAGUUGUCAGAUUUUCCAGAGCUAUUCACAGUCAUCUGGAGGACUCCUUUAUUUGCUUCUUUAUUUCCUAAAAAGGAAGUUUAUUCGUUUAAAUGUUCAAAUCUAUAGAUUCAAUAAAAACCCCACUGUUCUCAACUUUUUAUUGCUGCAGAGUUAGAACCAGGCUAAUUAUUUUUUAAAAAUCUAAGAUGUUUUGAUAGGAAAAUCUUAUAUCUUAGAAAAUCAUACUGCGAAGUUUUUGUAACUUCUUUCUCUUUUGAGUUAUUUUUGGACCCAGUGUCAAAAUAAGGUUUACUGCUUUAGUGUAGUGUGUUCUAAAGCAGUAACUUCCUGGGUUUUCUUUAGGGCAUACAGCAUUGUGAACCCCAUAUACAAUGAACUUCAAAUUGUCAUUUGUAGAGAGCGAUAUUGUAGUUUAAUUGAACAAUUUUUCCUAACUGCACUUAUUUUCU